UACGGAGGGAGCUAGCGUUGUUCGGAAUUACUGGGCGUAAAGCGCACGUAGGCGGCUUUGUAAGUUAGAGGUGAAAGCCCGGGGCUCAACUCCGGAACUGCCUUUAAGACUGCAUCGCUUGAAUCCAGGAGAGGUGAGUGGAAUUCCGAGUGUAGAGGUGAAAUUCGUAGAUAUUCGGAAGAACACCAGUGGCGAAGGCGGCUCACUGGCCCGUUACUGACGCUGAGGCACGAAAGCGUGGGGAGCAAACAGG
rnacentral:rRNA from 1 species